rnacentral:rRNA from 1 species
GUCCUACGGGACGCAGCAGUGGGGAAUAUUGCACAAUGGGGGAAACCCUGAUGCAGCGGCGCCGCGUGAGUGAGGAAGUAUUUCGGUAUGUAAAGCUCUAUCAGCAGGGAAGAAAAUGACGGUACCUGACCAAGAAGCCCCGGCUAACUACGUGCCAGCAGCCGCGGUAAUACGUAGGGGGCAAGCGUUAUCCGGAUUUACUGGGUGUAAAGGGAGCGUAGGCGGUGAUGCAAGUCAGAAGUGAAAGCCCGCAGCUCAACUGCGGGACUGCUUUUGAAACUGUAUGACUAGAUUGCAGGAGAGGG